GACGAACGCUGGCGGCGUGCCUAAUACAUGCAAGUCGAGCGAGUCAAUAGGAGCUUGCUCCUGUUGGUUAGCGGCGGACGGGUGAGUAACACGUGGGCAACCUGCCUGUAAGACUGGGAUAACUUCGGGAAACCGGAGCUAAUACCGGAUAAUCCUUUUCCACUCAUGUGGGAAAGCUGAAAGUCGGUUUCGGCUGACACUUACAGAUGGGCCCGCGGCGCAUUAGCUAGUUGGUGAGGUAACGGCUCACCAAGGCGACGAUGCGUAGCCGACCUGAGAGGGUGAUCGGCCACACUGGGACGGAGACACGGCCCAGACUCCUACGGGAGGCAGCAGUAGGGAAUCUUCCGCAAUGGACGAAAGUCUGACGGAGCAACGCCGCGUGAGCGAUGAAGGCCUUCGGGUCGUAAAGCUCAGUUGUUAGGGAAGAAUAAGUAUCGGAGUAACUGCCGGUACCUUGACGGUACCUAACCAGAAAGCCACGGCUAACUACGUGCCAGCAGCCGCCGCAG
rnacentral:rRNA from 1 species